GGGGGUGUGGCUCAGUGGUAGAGCAUUUGCUGAGCUUGCACAGGGUCUUGGGUUCCAUCCCCAGCACCUCCU
rnacentral:tRNA from 1 species